rnacentral:misc_RNA from 1 species
CAGGCAGCAAUGAAGAGGCCGAUGGCCGUGAGGGCUGUGAGUACGGCCCUGUUGAGUGUGAUCAGGCGUCGUUUUGGAGCGCGUGUAUUCUGUCCUUUUCCCUUAUUAGCUUUUGGUUUUGCCUUGGAGCUGUUCUUUCCUACGUGUGACUCACUCAUAAGUUAAUUCCCGUGGUACGGGACUGCUUGCGUGGGAGAUUCCCCGCCAUGCCAAAUCAGAAAAAAAGAAAUCAAGUAGCAGUGACGAAUGAAGUAGAGAAACUGGCGGUCGAGAAGAUCACUGCGGCUCUAAAUGUCGAUAUGAUGCGCUAAUCCAACUGAUUGGGCUUCU